UACGGAGAUGGCGAGCGUUGUUCGGAAUCACUGGGCGUAAAGCGCGCGUAGGCGGCCUGGUAAGUUGGAUGUGGAAGCGUCGGGCUCAACCCGGCAAUGGCGUCCAAUACUGCCCGGCUAGAGGACGGUAGGGGAGAGUGGAACUCCUGGUGGAGCGGUGAAAUGCGUAGAUAUCAGGAGGAACGCCAGCGGCGAAGGCGACUCUCUGGGCCGACCCUGACGCUGAGGUGCGAAAGCCAGGGGAGCGAACGGGAUUAGAUACCCCCGUA
rnacentral:rRNA from 1 species